UUCUCCUGGAAAACGGGUGGUAAUGCCGGAUGCUCCAGUUGAUCGCAUGGUCUUCUGGGAAAGCUUUCGCGGUAUGGGAUGGGGUCGCGUCCUAUCAGCUUGACGGCGGGGUAACGGCCCACCGUGGCUUCGACGGGUAGCCGGCCUGAGAGGGCGACCGGCCACAUUGGGACUGAGAUACGGCCCAGACUCCUACGGGAGGCAGCAGUGGGGAAUAUUGCACAAUGGGCGCAAGCCUGAUGCAGCGACGCCGCGUGAGGGAUGGAGGCCUUCGGGUUGUAAACCUCUUUUAUCGGGGAGCAAGCGAGAGUGAGUUUACCCGUUGAAUAAGCACCGGCUAACUACGUGCCAGCAGCCGCGGUAAUACGUAGGGUGCAAGCGUUAUCCGGAAUUAUUGGGCGUAAAGGGCUCGUAGGCGGUUCGUCGCGUCCGGUGUGAAAGUCCAUCGCUUAACGGUGGAUCCGCGCCGGGUACGGGCGGGCUUGAGUGCGGUAGGGGAGACUGGAAUUCCCGGUGUAACGGUGGAAUGUGUAGAUAUCG
rnacentral:rRNA from 1 species